GAAAUAUUUAAGGGCAAUAUACUUAAAAACUCAAUAAUAGUUUAAACCCACUUCAUGGUGAAUUGUUUUAUGUGUGUCUCUGUGUUUAACUGAUGUGUACAAAGACUGUCUCUUCUACGGCAUGGACAAAUAGUGUUUUGUGUUUUCCUUAAUCAUCAUAUCUGGUUGGGACAAAAUAACCCACAGGAAUAUGGCUCCGAGCGGAUACUCCAAUUUUACAGAAUCUCAGUUCUUUGGGUCCCAGUUUUGGCCUGAGAACUCUCAAGGCGCAUCUCAAGAUAUGAGUUUGUCUUCGAGGACCUCCCAACAAAGUUCACAAGAGGGAAGUGACCCAAAGUUUUCAAGCAGUUACCACACCAGACCUCUCCUGCUUGGCGACUUCAUGGACAAAAGCAAAGCUUUUGGACUACUUGAGAAAUUUGAAGAUGACAAGAAAAAGGCAAAAGAAAAAUAUGACAGUGAUCAUUUGACUAAAGAAUUUCAUCAUAUUCGAGAAACCCUAAGCAACGUAAGUUAUAAAAGGCAUUUAUUCUGUUGCUUUUUCAGUUUACUGCUAAUCUAUUGAUUGAUGUAAGUUAUUAAAAUAUGUAUUUUUUUUCUUUCUAGAUCCAACAACUGGUUGCUGGCACGGAGAGAAAUACUGCUGUGUGCCAAAACGCCCUUGAAAGAUUUGACAAGUUUGCAUCAACAUUGCAAAAUAGUCUUAGUAGUCUUCAAAGUAACAUUUUGCAGCAGUUUGAAACUUUGCUGGAUAAAGUGAACUCCCAGAGAGAGAUUACAACAGAACUGGAGGAGAAGGUACAAAAGAUAAUUCAUUUGUUUCAUUUGUUUUAAUCUUGUAGUGACUAGUAAAUGUUUCUGCAUUUGUUGAGUCUUAUUGUUUGUUUUUAUCAUUUCAUGUAGAUUGGAGAAAAUACAGCAGAACUUGGCUCAAACCUGCAAAGCUUAAGGAAAAGUCUGGAGUGUCUGAGAGAGAAGCAGGAGACAGAACGAAACAUGCUCGAAGAGGCCCUGAAGCUGCUCAGCACCUUAGUCUCAGAGCAUUCAGCCAAACCCAAACCCAAAGAAGUGGUCCACAGUGCCAUCCAGACAUCACCAGGGCCCGAACAACAAAUGUCCAAUAUCCUGCUGGACAACAAGCUGGAAGCCACACAGCUGACAUGUAUAUCCAACAACCUUGAACACAACCAGAAUAAUGUUCUGCCUCAGAAUCCCAGCUGCACUGUAGCAAAGAGGAAAUUUACUACGAGAGACCGGAGGAGGCGCAAAAAGAGGCCGUUGGUGCUUCCACAGAGGAGUAAGCAUACUGUCAGGGAUGAAAAUAGCCGGCCUCUAAUGAACUGUAACCAACAAAAAAAUGUUUCUUUACCUAUCGGUGAGCGUCAUGAUGUGAACGCAGUGAAAACCCAGGUGGGCCUAAACACAGGCUGUCAUGAACUGCUGAACAGGGAGACAAGAUCCAAAGCUGCAGGAUGUGUCAUCACCCCGCUCAGCUGCUGGUCUCAGGACAGCAGCAGCUCUCUGUGCUCCGCAGGGUUCGAACCAAUCUUACAGAAGCUCUCAGCAGAGUCCAGGUCAGUAACCCCAGAAAAACCUGGCUUCUGGCAAUUGUUUGACAUGGAUUCAGCUUUAGGAUUUUAAAGGUUGAUAAAAGGACUGAAACAUGGGUGUUCCCUUUUUUUUGGUGUAUAGGGAAACAAAAGACACAGGUGUUUAUGAUUAUACAUAUUAACUCUUACAAAGUUCUGUUUGUUGUAGAUGUAUUCUGUAAACUAGUUUUUGGAAGAAAAACAUUGUCCAAUAUUUUUUAUCUUGAACUUGAUGUGGAAGUACUUGUAGUGUAAUGACUUAACCUAAGAAAUGAAACCCACAAAGCACUUCUUACUCAUUUAAUUUCCUUUUAUUACAAGUGUUGCCGAAGUGUCUCUGCUGACUUUUAAAAAUAUUUGUUUCUGUAUAAAUAUACUAAUGACUUGACAUAAAAAUAAACUGAGAUUGUAAUCAUUAGGUACCAGUUGUAUUUAUUGUAUGAUUUCUGUUUGGUAUAUAUGGGUUCUGAUUUUGUAAAGAGUCAUUGUGAUGUAGUUAUUGCAGCCUGGAAGGCUGCCAUUACAAGUUCUUUUUAUCCUUUGUUUUUCUAAAUAUUUAUUUUUGGGCUUUUUAUGCCUUUUAUUAGAGAGACAG